AUCCCUAAAUCUCAUUUCAAAUUUCAAACCUAAAGCCCUUUCCAUUCCAUUCUCUCUCUCUUUCUCUCAGAUCUAGAUCUGGCGCUUCUCUCUCUCUAGAUUAAUCAACAAAUUAUCAUCUCUUUCGAUUCAAGAAUCAAGAAUCAUGCAAUUAAAUCACUAAACACUGAAAUUCAACCUUCAAUUUACGUUUUUCCAUAACAAAAUCAUUAAAAAAAAUGCAGAAUUACACCGAUUUUUCAUACGGUAAUGAUGAAGACAACAAGCUCUGGUCAUCGUUCAUCCACCAAUCAAACGGUGGUAUGUGUAAUGAGUUUAACACACCGUUGUACUCAUCGAUCUUCUCCAUAACUCCACUGGUGCCUGAAUAAUCACCGGCUAAGUUCCAAAGAAGCAGAAGCGCUCCGGCAAGAGAAUGUUAAUCUUCAGAUGAUGAAUUCGGAGCUAAACAAGCAGUUAUCUCAGUUGCAACAGGUUUCGGUUUCGGAUUCGGUUCCGGUUUCUUCUGUUGCGAAUUGUUUUGGACGGAUGAGGAUUGGGGAGAAAGGAGCGGCGGCGAGUGAUAAACGAGCGGCGGAUGAGGAUUGGUUCUGAUAUGGUUCUGAACUCAAAAUACGGAUGCAAUGUUCCUCUGCUUCUGAUGAAUGAUGAUAGUACACACGAUGAGACUUUGAAGAUUGUGGAGAAACAAUCCAACAAAAACAUAAUCUGUUUAGUCAAGGUUUGUUUUCUUUGAAAUCUUUUGAUCAUUUAAAGUUGCUUCUUUUGGUAUUAGAUCAUGAAAAUGUCUGAUCAAAUUCAAGGAUUCAAGUCGAAGGUAUAGAUGAAGUUUUUCAGUGGUGAUGUGGAUCAAAAGAAAUUGUCGAUGUGACUUCAUUUAUUAAGCGUCCGGCUUUGUAUAAAUAUAAGUGUAGUUACUGCCGCAGAUGCGACGGGUAAUAUAUCCAGUUAAUUUGAUUUACAAGUUAUUCACAAAGUUUCUUUUUAUUCUAAUAGUUUAUCUUAACUAACUAUUUGAAGUGAACUGGUAGUUCAUGUAUCUUACUUCCCAACUUACCUUACGGUGCUCUAAUUCAAAUCUAUUUUGUUACCCUUUUAAAAUUGCUAUGUUGGUUGAAAAAGUCACAGUCGUUAAAACAAUUGCCAAACUUGAUGUUAUGUAGUUGAAUUUUUCAUGAAACCUUUUGAAGUCUACUUUCGUAGUUACAGUUGAAUUUUUCAUGAAACCUUUUGAAGUAUACUUUCGUAGUUAGUAACGGAAUCAAACUAGAAGUUUAAUUAGAAUUUUUAAAACCAUAAAACCAAACUGAAACCAAAUUGUUCAUAAUGGUUUGGUUUAGUUUUAAUUUUCUUAGUUACUAACAAUUUGUGGUUUCUUCAUAGGGAUUAUGAGGAGGAAUUAGCAAAAGUGAGAUGCAACACUAUGCAUUGUCAUUUCUGGAUCUGAAUUCCACAUGAUAAGUUAUAUUAUACGGUGUAAAUGGGAUUAUGAACGCCAGUAAAUAUAUGUAAGUUGUUAGAUUUACUAGAACUGUUGGUUAGGCUAGCAUAGAUAAGAGUACACUUAGCAAGGGCCGUGAUAAGAAGAAUGACAAAGUUAACAAACCUGAAUAGCUUGUGAGGUUACUUGAUCUUCUUUUACAGGUUAUAUUACUUUUGACAUCAACUUUUGAUGUCUUUGAUAUAACUACCAAGGCUAUAUUACUUUUCUCAGUCACUUAAAAUUUUGAAUAGAAUGAUUUACGAGGAGGUUUUAUGUAAUAAUCCUACACUUUGGCUCCGUAAAUAAAUAUGUUUCUUUGAUAUAGUUGACAAUUUUGACAUGUUCGCUUGUGAGUGACUUCUUGCAGGACCUUCAGAGAAAAAGCCUACUCCGAUGCAAGAUUUGCCGUCAUUGGAUUUUAAAACACCAUUAAGAAACUGAUAUAAGUUUGGAUGCAGUUGGUGAAGGUGAAAAUUGGUGGGAGAACGCCUUCCAUUUGUUCGAUGAAAGUCAGUUUAUUAUAAUCAAGAGAAUAUUGUAAAAGUUGACUUUUUUCUUAAAGCAAACCAGAAAGUCAAAGGUAAGUGGAGUAAGAAGUAAGAACUACUGGGUUGAGGGUGAACUCUGCAAAAUCAAUGAUCGGCCACCUCAUGGGAGUCGCUGGUGCUGUGGAAGCUAUCGCAACAAUACAAGUAAUGCAAUGAAAAUAAAUUGACAGAUUCAAAAUGAAUACGGGCCGUCCGAGUAGAAACUCGGAGCACCGGCUCGAGCAUAUACAAAAUGGGCUGCACAAAUGGCUGUGGGAUUUCCUGUUUGGGUUGCACAAUUAGUUUCAGAACAGAUAAUGCCCCUUUCAAGGCUGUUAUGGAAAAUUUCACAAGGCACAUAGUGAAUAUGAUGAAAGCUAAUGGCUUAUAUGAGACUCAAGGUGGUCCAAUUAUUCUAUCUCAGGUAAUUAAAGAAACUCAUUUCACACUCAUGUCACCAGGAUGACAGAUAAUUUUCAGAAUUAUGUUUUUAACUUAUAAGUUGUUAUAUGAGACUCAAGGUGGUCUAAUUAUUCUAUCUCAGAAUUGUGUUUUCAUCAUAUUCAAGUGGCGUAUUCUGGUAAGUGUUGGUUUAGUUUAACUCAGUUGUUAGAAACAGUAUUUUGGGUUAGAACAGUGGUUUGAAACCACUGUUGGGUCAACAUAUGGAUGAAUACAGCUGUUGGGUUAAAACAGUGUUUUGUGGAGAAAAUAGUCGUUGAAACCACUGUUUGGUUAAAACAGUGUUUUGUGAAGAAAACAGAUGUUACAAAUCACUGUUGGGUUAAAACCUGGUUUGAUUUUGAUCAAACAGAGUUUUGGUCAAAACAAACGUUUCAAAUCUUUUUUGAAUUAAGACUAAGAAUGUUUUGUGUCAAUUUUGUCCCUUUCUUUAUCAAUUGGUAAUAUACUAAAUUUGAUAACAGUGGUUUUGUUUAUUAUUUGUUUAAAGGUGAGGGUAUGAGGCAUUGGUUGUGUUUAUUUAUUUGUUGAGUAUAUAUAGAUAUUGAUUGUAAAUUCAGACUACUUAAAAUUAAUAGAUUAAUUUACCUAAAAAGAAGUGAUGUAAUGAAAUAAAAUUGGCUUUAAGUCAUUUUUACUUUUAUAAAAAGGUCAAAUUGUGUGAAGUGCUUUGACUUUUCAAAUUUGUGAUUUUGCUUUACUUUUUGCUGUUAAACAAGGUAGAGAUAUAAAAAAAAUACAUCUGGAUUUUAAAAUCUGCUCAACGAAGUGGCGGGAGUUUAUGCACAAGUACGGACAUCGCCAUCACCAAGACAAAGAUGAGAAACUCGAGACGAAGAAUGAGUUUGAUGGCGAGAGGCAGAACAGUAUGACAGCCCACCAUAAGGAGAAAAAAAGAGAACAUAAAGGCGGAUUCAUAUGGCUCGUUCGCAAGUUUUUUAAGCACACUGCUGACGUCUACUACAUGAUGGAGAUCUGGGAACUACAAAUCACUGCAGAACUUGAUUUCGUUGUGAACCUUACGUUUUAGCCAAACAUGUACACUAAAAAAAAAUUAAUGUCAUAUAUAAGAAGUUAUUAGACAACAUAAAAUUAGGUCAUGCUUUUA